AAGCUUUGGAAGGAUUCUGAGAGAAGGUGGGACUUCAGGUGCCCUUUCAGGAAUAAAUGAGGUUCGGGGCCAAUGAGAUGUGAACGUCCCAUAGAUGGACACUAUCCUCAUCACUAAGUGCAGCACCCAACUACGAGGCAGCUGUGCUGGGUGGGUGUGCAUGCAGAGAAAAGGACAAUCCUGAAGCAUUUAAGGCCUGGAGAAUGCAUCUCCUUAAAUUGAAAACGUUGAUCCUCACCAGCCUUCCCCAGACUCCUCUUUUUCAUCUAACUUUUCAGCAGCCAGUACAGGAGCUAAUGGGCUUUUACCACUUUUAAACUCAACAUACUAAUUAUAGUUCAAAGAACCACGUGCAGAUUCAAGCAUUUUUCCC
rnacentral:lncRNA from 1 species